AACGCGAAGAACCUUACCAAGUCUUGACAUGCCGUUGACGUACCGGUAAUGCGGUAUUUCCUUCGGGACAACGGACACAGGUGGUGCAUGGUUGUCGUCAGCUCGUGUCGUGAGAUGUUGGGUUAAGUCCCGCAACGAGCGCAACCCUUGUCUUUAGUAGCCAGCAUUUAGGAUGGGCACUCUAGAGAGACUGCCAGGGAUAACCUGGAGGAAGGUGGGGAUGACGUCAAAUCAUCAUGCCCCUUAUGAUUUGGGCUACACACGUGCUACAAUGGCGUAAACAAAGAGAAGCAAAGGAGUGAUCCGGAGCAAAUCUCAAAAAUAACGUCUCAGUUCGGAUUGUAGUCUGCAACUCGACUACAUGAAGCUGGAAUCGCUAGUAAUCGCGAAUCAGAAUGUCGCGGUGAAUACGUUCCCGGGUCUUGUACACACGC
rnacentral:rRNA from 1 species